rnacentral:rRNA from 1 species
CAGUCGCCGCGGGAACACGAAGGGGGCUAGCGUUGCUCGGAAUUACUGGGCGUAAAGGGCGCGUAGGCGGACAGUUAAGUCGGGGGUGAAAGCCCGGGGCUCAACCUCGGAAUUGCCUUCGAAACUGGCUGUCUUGAGUACGGGAGAGGUGAGUGGAACUCCGAGUGUAGAGGUGAAAUUCGUAGAUAUUCGGAAGAACACCAGUGGCGAAGGCGACUCACUGGCCCGUUACUGACGCUGAGGCGCGAAAGCGUGGGGAGCAAACAGGAUUAGAGACCCCUGUAGUCCCUGUCUCUUAUAC